rnacentral:sRNA from 1 species
AAGAAAAAAAUAAUAACAAAAACAAAUAAAAGAAACAACAACAACAAAUGAAAUGUCUUUCCCAGUGCGUUCCUGAUAAAAUACUUUUGUUUUAAGAAAAUACUAGAAGUUCCAUUGACGAAAAAAAUGGUUUGUUCAAACACACAAAUAAUGUUUGCUGAACCCCGCAUAACCUUCUUAUCGCCAACGAAACAAUUGAGUAUAUUUCCUAGCCAACCAACCACACAUCUUAUCAGCCUCAACGCUGCAUCAUUGCACCCUGACCUCUUUUGCAUUGAGGCGACCUUGUAUACUAUGUGCACGCGACAAAAUGCCUACAAAAGUUUAGUAGCUCGACACAUACUCAACAAACCGCCAGCCCGUCCCAUUCUUCCAUGCCACAUAUCAGCCAAGGUACUACUUUCAAAUAUUAAACAAACGGUUUUAAGUGGCUUCAUGCUUUUUUCCACAAAAGAAAGAAAAUUUUAAUACGUCGCAAACAAGUGAUAAUUGUCUGACAUGCAAAUGGAAUGCAUGGUAGUGGCAUCAAGCGAAACCGGCAGUCGCCGCAUUAUUAGCAACCGGAUGUCUAGUCUGGCUUGGUUUGGUCCAGUAUCCAAAAUUCAAAAAAAAAGAAAACACAACUUUGACAAUAACAAAGAAAACGGCAAAGCCAGGCAGACAGACAGACAGACAGACAGACAGACAGAGAACAGCCAACACAAAAUGAAUUGCAUAAAUGAAUACUAUGAAUGAAUUUUGCCAAGCAAAACAAGUGUGUGAGUGAGUGCAUGAAUGAAUACAUGAAUUAAACAGAAAACUGUUCAACAUUCUGAAAGGUAGUCAGUCAGUCAGUCAGUUGUCCAGCCGAGACAAUCAGGCAGACACACGCAUAUGCUUAAUGGCAAUCUCAAAUUUUCCACCUACCCAAGCAUUAAUUUGGGUCUCAUAAUCAUGCUAAAGAAAAAUUCAACACAGCCAGACAACCUGCCAGCCAGCCAGCCGGACAUCAAGUUGCACUUGUUCGGUUUUGAGCGGAAAACUACUUGGAGCAAAAAAUAUAUGUAUUUUUCAUUCAUAAAAAUCCAAAAAUCAAGGCGCCCACAUACACAUUACCAUAUGAAAUGAUAUCACAUCAUACGAAUAUUUUGAACAUGACGAUUAUUAAAAGAUGAAACUGCACAUAACUUCCUCGGUACACAGCAUCAAAGACAGAUCCUAACCUACAUUAACUGCUAAAGAUGGUGUUGGUGAUGAAUGAUUUGCUGAUUUCAGUGUGGAGGGGAUGGAAGGAGAAUAAUCAAAAGUUUUUAUGGUGAGUAGUAAAGUUGUUUAUUAUGUUUGUUAACAAUAUCAAUAACAAGAAAUAUGUUGGUGUUGGACGUUGGGACGUAUAACUAACGUUGUUAAUCAUACGCCACCAUGUUCUUGAGAUAUGGUACUAGAAAGGCAUGGAGAGUUGUUCUUCGUGUAUAUGGCCUGAAAUAAAUAGAUUUGAUGAAAUUAAAAACUUAUUGGAUUUUUUGAGAAGUUUGAAAAAUGG